AGCACAGGACCGCCCACAGCCUCACCCCUCCAGCUGUCAUCGCACCUGCCUCGCACACUUCACAUCCCCAGACCUCUCACCCUAUCCGUCUGCCCAGUGAGUGAUGACUCACGCAAGGCUCCGAGCCUAUUGAUUACUUUCUCAGGGUCUGCCCAGUCCCAGGGCCACGUGAGACUAUUUGGCUCACGGUCUCUAGUGUUUCAGACGGGAGCUCCCUUUCGUGAGUCCCUCUCUUCCUGACUGCAGCUCUCCACAGUUUGCCGCCCUCCCGGCUCCGUGAUGGUCCUGCAGGUGCCGGAGGGCCCCUGCGCAGCGGCUCUGCCGGCGUUACUGGUGGCACUGCUCAGCGCCGCGGCCCAGGGCAGGGCCUCGCCAGAGAACUACGCGCUGCAGGCGCGCCAGGAGUGCCACGCGCGCCCGGGGACGCCGCGCUUCGUGGAGAGAUACGUCUACAACCGCGAGGAGUACGUGCGCUUCGACAGCGACGUGGGCCUGUUCCAGGCGGUGACCGAGCUGGGGCGGCGGAGCGCCGAGUCCUGGAACCGCCAGAAGGACCUCGUGGAGGGGAAGCGGGCCGUGGCGGGCACCGCGUGCAGACACAACUACGAGGCGGUGGCGCCCAUCGUGGCGCAGCGCCGAGUCCAGCCUAAAGUGAACGUCUCCCCCUCCAAGAAGGGGCCCCUGCAGCACCACAACCUGCUUGUCUGCCACGUGACAGAUUUCUACCCAGGCAACAUUCAAGUCCAGUUGUUCCUCAAUGGACAGGAGGAGACAGCUGGGGUCGUGUCCACCAACGUGAUCCGGAACGGGGACUGGACCUUCCAGAUCCUGGUGAUGCUGGAAAUGGCCCCCCAGCAGGGAGAUGUCUACACCUGCCAAGUGGAGCACCCCAGCCUGGACAGUCCUGUCACUGUGGAGUGGAAGGCACAGUCAGAUUCUGCCCGGAGCAAGAUGGUGGCGGGAGCCGGGGGCCUUGUGCUGGGGCUCAUCACCUUUGCAGUGGGGCUGUCCAUGCACAGGAGGAGCAGGAAAGGUGAGCAGCGUGCAGGGCGCCUGAGGCUUGCCUUUCCCUGCCUUACCCAUCUUCCUGCUGAGGGGCUGAGACACAAAGGCAAUGCCAGAGAGUUCUGGAGGCCACUGAAGUCAGAUAGUAGGAGCAGGUCGGGGAGCAGAGACGGCCCGUAGGGAGGGAGGGACCCCAGGCUGCGAUCUUAGCACAGCCAGACGCACAUGGUCCCCCUUACUGUGGCUCGUCAGGGCAUCCAUCGAGUCACGGACAACGGAAGAUGAGACGGGAAAGAUUCUCUAAUUGUCCAAGGUGCUUUUAAUGGUUUAAUCCAUUCCUUCCCUCUUUUCAUUUCAGUCCAACAAGGAUCUUCAUAGACAGGGUCCCUGACCUGACCUGAAAAACUACAUGUGCCUUGGAACAAGUAGUUUUCUGUGUUUCUUAGUCCCAGAGGCUGGCUCUGGGACAGACCCCAGCUUCCCAGGAGAAUGUUGCUGCCAAGUAUUUGCUCUGAAGCCAGUUUCCCUGGUUCUGCUCUUUGAUUCAAUGCACGGUUGCUAUCAUGGGUUUCCACCCAAGUUCCCUUCUCCCUAGCCCAUAAAUAAUAAAAACCCACAUUAUUGUUUGUGUUAA